CAGUCGCCGCGGUAAUACGGAGGGAGCUAGCGUUGUUCGGAAUUACUGGGCGUAAAGCGCACGUAGGCGGCUUGGUAAGUUAGAGGUGAAAGCCUGGAGCUCAACUCCAGAAUUGCCUUUAAGACUGCCGAGCUAGCAGGUGAGAGAGGUAAGUGGAAUUCCGAGUGUAGAGGUGAAAUUCGUAGAUAUUCGGAAGAACACCAGUGGCGAAGGCGGCUUACUGGCUCAUACUGGACGCUGAGGUGCGAAAGCGUGGGGAGCAAACAGGAUUAGAUACCCGUGUAGUCCCUGUCUCUUAUAC
rnacentral:rRNA from 1 species